rnacentral:lncRNA from 1 species
CUAGGAAUUUACAAUAAUUUCACUACUUUACUAACACCUUUUACAACUGUCGAUCUUAAGUUGAAAGAUAAUAGUUUAUAUAUUUUUAAUAGAAUAUAUAAAAGGCUAUCGGAAUAUUACAUAACGUGGACCAAAUAGGCUUUUAGUGUAGUUAACAAAUACAGUAUGAUUACCGACCGUUCCUAGCGCAAGUGACAAAAGGCUUGAUGGUUGAUACCCGAGAUCCCAAGUUCGAAUUCUAGUUGAUUCAUAUUUCUGGCUAAGUUUAUUUUUAAAUAAAAUAAACGAAGCAGGUAGCGUGCUACCUAUCUCUCAAACAAAAAAAAUAAUUAAUUCGUAACAACAAUAUCAAGAAUAGUGUGAUAGUGGCUGUGGUGGCAAUGAAACAACAAUGGUGCACUAACAACAACAGCCAUAGCCACGACAAGGAUUAUUAUGAUGCAUAGCGCAGUAACCUGUACGAUGCAACGGAAAAUAAUUGAAGAAAACAUAGAAAACUUAGAUAAAAAAAAAGUGAUGAUGAGGGUGGGAUUCAUCUUGCCGAUAAACAAAAAUAACAGCCAAAGGAAGAGGAAGAUGAAGGACUUGAGCUUGUUCGGGGUGGAGUCCACUCUCAACCAUAAAGGAAAAUUUGUCAUGUGGCAAUUUUAAGAGAAAUAAUGUAGACGAAGAGAUGAGGAAGGGAAACUAAGGAAGAGAGAAAAAAAAUGGUAUGAUAAUUAUUAAGGAUUGCUUUGUUGUAUGUAGUUGCAACUAUAUUGCAAGUUGUAGUUAAAUCAAAAUUCAAGUUUGGUGUUUGGUUUGAUGCGUUUGAAUUAACUACUACGGUUGGAACUACAUGAUGAGGUUCAAGUGCAAAAUUUAAAACUAUGGCCAAAUUUGCUGCAACUCUAGUUGAAGUAGUUGGUAAUAGGAAAUCUUACCUCCAUAAUCACUUUUUAAACAAAAAAAAAAAAUUUUUUUUUUACAUUGGAGCUAAUCUCACUACCACAUAUAUAAAAUGAUAAAUUUUACAAAUACACUUCUCAACAACAUACAACCAAAUAAAUUAUUUAUAAUUAUAGUACUUUCUACUGCAUCCAACCAAAUGAGAUAUAUGUAGUUGUAAUUGUUGCAUUGUAAUAAACUGAGCUUUCGCAAACAGCAAGAGUUCUAGUAAGAAAUAGUAAUGUAAACUAUUUAGAU